GUAAAUUUCUGGUACAAGGCACCUGAACUCCUCUUCAGCUUGCUGCAGUACUCCCCUUCAGCUGAUGUGUGGUCUGUGGGUUGUAUAUUUGCUGAGAUGGUGAAUCAGCAGUCAUUGUUUGCAGGUCCAACAGAGUUUCAUCAGUUGGUUGUACCUUAGAACCACAUACUUUUAGUGCACAUGUUAACCUCCCCUAGCGUGCUACUCCAUUUUCAUUUCAUUUCUGUAAUGAAGCAUUAUGGGUACCCUAAAUGAAGAGACCUGGCCUGGAGUGACUUUACUAUGCGACUAUCUACAUUUUUUCUGAAGGGGGAGCCUAAGGACCUGGCGAAAGUAGUCCCGAGUCUUGAGCCAGCUGGAGUGGAUCUUCUCACCAGAAUGCUCUGCACGAAUCCAAAGGCAAGAAUUACAGCUAGUGAGGCACUCAAGCAUGCAUAGUUUAAAGAUGCUUGGUCUGUUCCAUGAUUUCUCCCAUCUGCCAUCUUGUUCUCUGUCAUAUAGAGAAGGAUAUAUUGACUUUGAGUUUUGAUUUUACCACAAAAAUGUGCUUCAUUUUAUACAAUUUACCUUGUGGGUGCAAAGUAAUAUUUG